ensembl:lncRNA
AGGCUUUCUGCUGGGAGUCAGGCCCACUCUCCACAAACAGACCUGAGGAGAGGGGCCCAGGCCCGGCCCUCAGCGCUUCGGCAGCGGGAGAGCUGCGUCCAGAGAAGGCUGGGAGGUUGCUCCCAGGCCGGCUGGUGUGCGCUGUGGGGGAGACCCUGGAGCCUUCAACGUAGCCAGGCAGGCAAGUGGGGGCAGGGCGUGGGCGCGGACACACCCCCCGCAGUGCCCCCGGCGCCCGGCAGGGGGCGCCGCCCCGCCGGCCCACGCCCCGCCGCGCGCCGGGCAGGCCCCCUCGCGCAGGCGCGCUGCCGCGGGCGGAGGAUCCGGGCCGCGCUUCCUCUCGCCAGGCCUGCGAGCUUCCUCCCAGCGGAGCCCCGGGCGAGCCGAGGUUGGCCGCCGCCGCCGAGCCCGCUGCUGCCCUCCCGCUCCUGCCCCACCCGCGCCUUGCCCGGGGGGGUCCUGCCGGGGCGGGGUCCUGCGCCGCCGUCGGGGCCAUACCCCGGCCCGCCGUCCCUCCCGCUUCAGCCAGUCUCUGGCCGCCGGAGCCCGCUGGGCGUGGAGCGCGAGGAGCCGCGCGGCCCCGAUCGAGCGUCCGGGGCGGCCCCCCGCAGCCAGCGCGACGUUCCAAAAUCGAACCUCAGUGGCGGCUCUCGGAAGCGGAACUCUGCCGGGUCCGCGCCGGCUACAUUGUUUCCUCCCCCCGACUCCCUCCCGCCCCCUUCCCCCGCCUUUCUUCCCUCCGCUACCCGAGCCCUGCGGCCGUCCCCCUGCCUCUGCCUGGCGGUCCGUCCUCCCCUCGCCUCUCACUCGUACCUCUUUGUACCGCACCCCCUGGGGACCCCUGUGCCCCUCCCCUCCCCCCGACCGCAUGGACCGUCCCGCAGGCCGCUGAUGCCGCCCGCGGCGGGGUGGCCUGGACCGCAGUGCCCCAAGAGAGGGUUCGAAUUCUCCCAGGAGCCACUGUCAGAACCCAAAUGGGAAGGGAGUGCACGAGGGACGUACUGCCCUGCAGCUCCGCGGACUCAUCUUCUCAUCCCGAGUCGCCCGUCUGUGGAGCUUAGAGUAGGAGGUGGCUGGAGUCUGGAGGAAGAGGAUCCGUAUGGGCCAGGUCCCUAGAGAGAGUGCUGGACUCCCCUGCCGUUCCCUGUCCAGGGCCUCCCUGCAGGUGCCCUGACUCGCCUCAUUAUCCCACCAUGACCCUGUGGGCUACAAGCAAGCCCAGGGCCCAGUAACCUCGGGUGAGCAGUUAGAAGCCCAGGUCCUGGGACUGAGCCUGUCACCCUUGGCCUCUCAGAAGACCAGACCUAAGCCAAGGGACCUCUGACCUUUGGGUGGGAAACUGGGCAGGCCUUCCGCCCGGGUGGAGGUGACUGAGCGUUAGCACCAUGCCCCCACCUUCUGGCACCCUGGGGCACCCAUUCUCCUAGGCUCUUUGUGGUCCAGACCAGGUGUCAGGAAGGGGUGUGUCCAGCCAGCAGAUUUUUGGAGCUUAACUACCAGUUAACUUCCCCGCCCAUUUUGUACACCCGAGAACGGAGGCUCAAAGGGAGAAGUUGCUACCCCAGGCCCCUAGUGGAGUUAGGCUGGGUAUCCUUUCAUCCCCAGCUCUGCAGGGCUGGAUGGCUGUGGGUGGAAGGAAACCAGGCAGGCACCGUCACCCAGUGGGUACACAGGCCCCCCAGCCUGGCCCCAGAGGGACUGUUGGUUGAGCACGUGCUUCCCUGCAGAGGGCUGGAGGGAGUGAAAGGGCUUCCGGCCCCAGCUGUGGCUGGGUCAGCUAGCAGGAGAUGUGGGGAAUGUGUGGUGUGGGGCCAUCUGUGUGGUGUGGCAGGAAGGCCGGGUCCUGGUCCCGGCUCUGAGUUGAAACAACCUGGUGGUCAGUCCUGACCCAGCGCUCCCCACACCUAUGGCCCAGCUGGCACAGGAGCAGCCAAGUUCAGAAUAUAUAUGGGGUCAGAUGGGAACCGUGGAAGCCCUGUCUCCACUGGCAGCAGACUACAGAGUGGGGACACCCAGGGGGCCUAUUUCAAGCUCCUAGUACCCUGGCCGUUCCAGUGCCUUUCUUGGUUGUGGCCACAGCAGGAACAGGGCAAGGGCAGCAGGGGUGAAGUUGGGGCCUGGCAGGAUCCUCUGGCCCAGGAGAGUAGGCAAUGCCCUAGAGGGUGUUGAGUGGUGUCUGGGCUCCCUUGGAGCUGCUGGCAGUUUUGCCCUGCUCGGUCCCUGCUCACAAUUUAGGUUUUUUUUGUUUUUUCAGUUUUUUUCUGGCUGUCCUGACAUGCACAGUGGAGGAGACCCAGAUGUCCUGGGCCUGUGAGACUCCCCUCACAUGGCCCCACACCCAGCCCUAACUUCCUUUCCAGCCUGAGGGGACUGGGGCUGGAGCCUGACAUGGUUGGCUCCCUCCCACCCCAAGCCAGCCUUUUUUAUUUUGAUUUUAUUUUUAUUUUUACCAACUGUGAGCUAUGAGGGUGCGACCCAGGGUCCCAGGGCCUUUGAAGAAAGGAGUCUGGCUUCUGGCUAGCACGUGUGCAGGGAUGUGCUUUUCAUUCAUUCUGAGAGGGAGUGAGCUUGGUGCCCUCCUCCCUCUCAGAAGCGGCUGCUCUUCUCUCUGCAUUGGGUCAGGGGCAAGGAAAGACCAGAAAAUAUUCCCAUUUACCACUGCAGGGGGGCCAGACCCCAAAAGGCUCAGCCACACAGAGUGGCCCAUGGCAAGGGUUGGAAAGUUUGGGGACAGAAUGCAGCUUCCUCCAAACAAAUAUAGGUAGGGGUUGAGGCCCAUGAUCCAUAGUGUGAUGUGGCUGCCCCCCAAAGAUCUGUCUGGGUGCGGUUCUGGGCUCCAUCUUUUGAAGGAUUUUAAAACCUUGACAAGUCGUCUUCAAAGAACCAGGGAUGUUGAUUGAGUCUGGGAAAGAGAAAGUAGGGACAGAUUCUCCUGUGUCUGAGGGACUGUCCCAAAUGAGAAAGGCAUCCCGUGGCAGAAGUUGUCCCAGACACCUGGGCCAGAGCUAGGGAGCAGGUGGGUCCCAGGGAAGUGAAUCUGAGCUCAUUCUAGGGAAACUAUGAAUGUACUCAUUUUCUUGAUUUAGAAAAUAACAAAACAGCGCUACAGGAAAUUUAGAAAACGAAACAAAAAUCACCCACUCUUUCUUCAGCAGGCAGUGACUGUGUUAGCAUUUUGGAGUUCCUUGCUGGUCUUUUCCCCAUCUUUUUCCUUCAUCGCCGUUGUCACUGGAGUGUGUGUGCCGUGACACCAUUUUCCAUUUAAUACUGCGUCUGUGGGCAUUUUCUCAUGGUGCUACAUGGUCUAAGUAAUGUUGCUUCUAAAAAGCUACAGAAUAUUCCAGGCUGGCCUGCUGCAGCGCCAUCACCCAUACACUGGAGUGUGUGCAUUUUUCCCCUCUGUUGCUGUUGUGGUUGUCAUUACUGUGAGUCCCAAAAGCAGCCAGGGUGUUGGAGGGCACAGGCAACUUGGCACCCAACUGAAUAUGGGUUCCAGGCUCAGACAUGCCACUUAGACCCAGGGUGGAGGGACCUUAGACAGGUCACUGACCUGCUGAGCUGCCUUUAUAUAAAUAACAGGAUGGUGACACCUACUUUAGAGGAAGGUGGAAGAACAGUGUCAACUAACUAACCAAGGGACUCUAAAGUGCCUGGUACAGUCCUUCCUGCACUCCCUCUAGGAGUAGGACUGGCAUUGUUGAAGGAGUGUCCACUGCUGGCUGCCUCAACCUGUGGGGAAGGUGCCUGAGCCACGAGCCGAUGUUGGCUGACCACUUACCUGGCAAAGAGGUGGUCUCUGCCUGGGGAGCCCCUCUGAACCCCCCUGGCCCUGAAGUUCUAGAAUACUAUGAAUACUAUGGCCAGAAUACUAUGGAAUACUAUGGCCAGUGCCCUUCCCUGCCCUCCCCAUUCCCCAUUACCAUGUGAUUGCCUGGCCUAUGGCAUGGGGCUGGCCCUGGGAAGAUGGGCUGCUGGUUAGGGUCCAGGACCUGACUCCACCUUUUCCCUUUCCAGUCUCCCAGCAUCAGAGCUGAAUAGACAAGGUUUCUUCUUCUUUUUUUUUUUUUUUUUUUUUUUUUGGUGAGAUGGAGUUUUGCUCUUGUUGCCCAGUCUGGAGUGCAAUGGCGUGAUCUUGGCUCACCACAACCUCUGGCUCCCAGGUUUAAGUGAUUCUCCUGCCUCAGGCUCCCAAGUUGGGAUUACAGGCAUGUGCCCUCACGCCUGGCUAAUUUUGUGUUUUUAGUAGAGAUGGGGUUUCUCCAUGUUGGUCAGGCUGGUCUCGAACUCCCGACCUCAGGCGAUCUGCCCACCUCGGCCUCCCAAAGUACUGGGAUUACAGGUGUGAGCCACCGCGCCCAGCCGACGAGGCCUCUUAAGAGCCUGGCUGCCUCCCGCCUCCCAGCUCUGGCUAGGUCAGCCCAGUUCGGCAUUUUCCCAGAGGAAAUAGAGGCCUGCUUAGCCUGAGACUUAGACAAGGAACCCAGGCAUCCUGAACCCCAGCCCAAGAACAGCCAUGCCAGUCUCAUCUUCCCACCCUGUCCCAGUAGCCAAGGAAGGGAAGGAAGCUGGGAGAUUGAGGGUAGGGGGAUUCUGGAGCCUCCCAGAGCUUCCCAGGAGGGAGUUGGACACACCGGGAAACUCAUGUGGUAGCCUCCCCCUUCUCAGCAGGUGUUCCCCAGGUCUAACCUGAGUGUGUUUCACUGUGACAUACCUGCUUCCUCUUGUUCUGCUUUUAUGGAGACCAGAGUAACUGGGAGUGCCCUCCUACAGCCACCCUGUGGGCAGUAGCAGGACACCAGUCUCUACUUGGCAACCCUGGGCCUAAGAGACUGUAGCCCCGGAUGACCCUAGGGUGGCCCAGGACUAACCUAGGGAAGGGGUCCUCCUCCAGGUGGCCCAUUCAGUGCAGAGGUCCCUUGGGCACACGACCUCAGCCUCCAGCUGCCAUACUCUGGCCGUGGAGUGUCUCCCUCCUCCCUGCUCUUAGUGUAAAGGAAGUGGGCAUGACAGCUGCCCUCCUGUCCCGCAGCUUGGGAUGGGAUGAGGUCACAGGGUGGGGUCCAUCCCAAGAUGCUGGCCUGGCCUGGCUCAGAUGAGAGCCCUUUGGGUGUUUCUCAGUUUCCCCCGCCCUUGGUUGGGGACAGGAUGGGUGGAGGAGCAGGCCACCCCCAGCGCCCGGCAGGGAGCACUGCCUCCCUUCCUCCUCCCCUCUGGGUCCCUUCAUCCAAGGGCUGGAAAUAGAAUCCGCUAAGUAAUGAUUAAAGUCAAAUUCAGACCUAAAAAUAAAAAGCUGGUGAAGGAAGAGCUAGUGCUCCCU